UUUCAUUUGUUCAUACAUCAAGCUUCAAUAUAAGAUGUUGAUUAAGAAAUUAUUUCAUUGAUCAAAAUAAAAUGAUAAGUAAAAUGGAAGACCACUAAAUCAGAGCUUCUUAUUUCACUGGGUAUUUGAAUCACUUGACUCUGUUAAAAUGCAGAUGCUGAGUCAGCAGGUGGGGCCUGAGAUUCUGCCCUUCUAACAAGUUCCCAGAUCAUGCCCAAGCUGCUGGACCAUACUUGGAGAAGCAAGGAGGCCAAGGAUCCUCAAAGAAUGGAGCUACAGGGUUAUUACAUGAGACAAGAUGACUGAAAACAGUUCUCUCCAACUCAGAGCUUUGCAGACCCGCAGAUGACAUUGAGCAUUUCACAUGAGACUCCAUGUUGAUGGUGAUGCUCUCCUUUCAUAUAUUUCAGUCAAUUUGUUAGUUUGGGGAUAUUUUUUAAAAACCUCUCUUCUCUUCUUUUUUCCAUCUCCUACACAGCUACCACGUCAAUUGUUUUUUCUCACCAAAUAUGCCCUCAUGUGAUACCCCACACACAAGUGUGAAAAUGACUUGGUCUUAAUAGACAUUUACACAGCAGGUAAAUUCCAUCAUGGUUGGAUGGGAGAUUUGGUACCUUAUUUCUUCUUGAAUGUUCUAUUAAUAAUGACCCAAACUAAUUGUUUUUCCCAGUAUUUUCUCUUCCUUAAGCUUUUAGAAGUAGUUGUCACUAACAAGAAGCCAAAGGAAAAUAUAAUCACAGUGUCUGCUUUUAGGAUUUAGGUUUUUCUGUAUGUUUUUAAAUCAUUAAUGGUGGGUGUCUUGGGGAAAAAAUUCUUUAAGUAGUCCUCUGAAAAGAUUAAAAUCUACUUAUUUGGUGAA